UGGGGAAUAUUGGACAAUGGGCGAAAGCCUGAUCCAGCCAUGCCGCGUGUGUGAAGAAGGUCUUCGGAUUGUAAGCACUUUAAGUUGGGAGGAAGGGCAUUAACCUAAUACGUUAGUGUUUUGACGUUACCGACAGAAUAAGCACCGGCUAACUCUGUGCCAGCAGCCGCGGUAAUACAGAGGGUGCAAGCGUUAAUCGGAAUUACUGGGCGUAAAGCGCGCGUAGGUGGUUUGUUAAGUUGGAUGUGAAAUCCCCGGGCUCAACCUGGGAACUGCAUUCAAAACUGACUGACUAGAGUAUGGUAGAGGGUGGUGGAAUUUCCUGUGUAGCGGUGAAAUGCGUAGAUAUAGGAAGGAACACCAGUGGCGAAGGCGACCACCUGGACUAAUACUGACACUGAGGUGCGAAAGCGUGGGGAGCAAACA
rnacentral:rRNA from 1 species